rnacentral:lncRNA from 1 species
UUUGCAAAUAUCUUCCCCCAAUUGGUAACUUGUUUUUUUUUCUUUUGUUGAGGAAGAUUAACCCUGAACUAACAUCUGCUACCAAUCUUCCUCUUUUUCCUGAGGAAGACUGCCCCUGAGCUCACAUCUGUGCUCAUCUUCCUCUGCUUUAUAUGUGGGAUGCCUACCACAGAAUGGCUUGCCAAGCAGUGCCAUGUCUGCAACCAGGAUCCGAACCAGCGAACUCCAGGCCACUGAAGCAGAAUGUGUGCACUUAACGCUGUGCCACCAAGCUGGCCUCAUUGCAGGUCUUUCUAACUGUGCUAUGUGGGAUGCAGCCUCAGCAUGGCUUGACGAGCGGUGCUAGGUCCACGCCAAGGAUCCAAACCCACGAACCCCUGGGCCACGAGGGUGGAGCACACAAACUUAACCAUUCAACCAUGGUCCCAAUAUUAUCACCUUUUCUUCUUUGCUGCACUUCCAUCUUCAUUGGAGAAGACCUAGGAAGUCUUUCUGGAAAAGCCUAGAAAACUUCAGCAAGCUCCCCAUUGCUCUCAG